AUACUUCCCUGGCAGGGGAUACCGUGAUCACAAAGGUGGUUUUCCCAGGGUGAGGCCUACCCAUUGCACUCCGGGUGUGCUGACCCCUGCGGCGGCCCCACCUGUGGGGAACUGGACUGCACAAUCUGUGGUAGUGGGGGGCUGUGUUCAUACUUUUCCUUG
rnacentral:snRNA from 1 species